ensembl:lncRNA
CUGUUGUAUAUGCAGCCCUUUAGCUGACGGAUUGAAUCUGACUUUUCACUAAAUAAAUGGAAUGUUCAGACUGUAAUUCUUUGCAGUGUCGAAUGUUUAUGUAUUAAACUCAAGCCGGACAAUUUAUCACGUCAUUAAAUCAGGUUAUUUAUUGUACGGAAAAUGCGGUUUUCAUGUCCGCUCUUCCUCGCAUGCAGGCGGAUGAAUGUGCGGCGUUUAAUAGCGCAUUCCUGCUUUCACACCGCGUGGAGAUAUAAUUUGCCUCGUAUGUGUUCGAGGUACAAUUUUAUCUGUGGACCUGUGUGCAGGUGAGGUAUCGACAAUGUCAAAGGUAGCCCGAGCAAUGGGAAUGAGAGCAUCCCAGCAGGUCUGCGAGCUGAAAUAAGACAGAUACAGCUGAGUGAGCCUUGAUGGGGAAAAAAAAAAAAUACAGAAAGAAACAGGUCAAAGAGAUGGGGCUUGGACCCUGGGGAUGCUUGGAGAAGGGAGCGAACAUAGGGCCUUAUUCACCAAAGCCAUGCCUUCCAAGACUCACAAUAUAGAGCGAGGAGAGACUUUUUAAGCAACUGUACUGUAAAGUUAAAGCACACCGAGUCUAGUACUAAGCUGGCUCUACCGUAAAUCGACAAGAGGAAUGCUGCAGGGUGCAUCAGGUAGAUUUUCUUGGCAAUGUGGUCACCUUGGCCUGAAAUACAACCCUCACUCAAUCACCGACAGAUAGACUUUAAAAAAAGAAGAAGAAGAAGAAGAAGAAGUGGCUCCACUAACAAAUUUAAAAGAAUAGUUCCACAUUUUGGGGGUAAAUCUGCUCAGUUACUGGCAGCGAGGCUAAUUCGAGAAGAUGCUGCUGUCUUGUCUGCCUGCUAAUUAUGAAGCAGGAGUCAGGGGACGCUUGAAGGCUGGAAACAGAAGGACAAAACUAGCCCGGCUAUGUUCAAAGAUUAGAUUAUCCACCUCCACAGUGACAACGAGACUCCGGGAAGUUUCUGCUCCCGGCUAAGAAAUUGUCCAGCACGUAACUUUUCUG